CGCUUUGUUUUCUCAGCUACUGUCAUUAUAAUUUCAAGUACUUCCUGCUCUACUCCUCAGAGUCAGGGAAAUGUGAUGGGAGUAUUUUAGCUGACUUUGUCCGAGGUAAAAUAGUGAAUGGAAGAGAUCAAUAUAACAUAACACCAGGAUAUUCACUUUUGUCGGUAAAAACUAUAUAUUGAUUAAAUGAGAAAUAAUAGCAAAGCAAACUUGUAUUAAAGUUGUUUAGUAUUUGAUAUUCCAAGUAUUCCGAGCAUAGUAAAUUGAAGGAGACUAGAACUGAAAUGACAGAUUUAAUAUAGAGUCGUAUGUAGGCACACAUAGAUUAAAUCAGCAAGGGAAUUAAAACUGCGUUUAUAGCAGACAUAAGUGCGCUUUAUUUUGUAUAUUUAUAUUUGCUCUUCUCUUCAUAUUAUAUGUUUACAAUUUUUCCUGCUGUGAUAUGUGCCUAGCAUUAGCAAAUGAGCUGCACAGGGGAGCGCCAUUGUCAGAGAGCUGAAUCGCCGUGCAGUGCAGUCGAGUGCAGCAGUUGCCGAGCAGUUGCUCUGCUUGAAUCACGUUUUAAUGGCGCUCUCGUAUCAGUAGCCCGAAGAUUAGACACUCUGUGCGUGUGCUACGAAUAUUCUAAAUUUUAAUCAGAUAGGAGUGAGCGUUAGGUAAACAAGGCGAAACAGCCACAUCGCAAAUAUGGAUUAGUGUGCAUGUGGGACGCUUGGCAUGUCUUCCUUAUUUGCCAUGCGCCGCGAAAAGAGAAAGUAUUGCUUCUGAGUGAUGCUCGAACCUAUUGCUAAGCUAAGCUCUAUUGUCAGGGUUUUGGUGUCCAGGUCUCAGGUCGAGUAUCUCAAGUACUGACCAAUUUCACAUCUAUUGUGACCAGAAAGUUCUAUGCAAUAAAGAAAUUCGACGCUAGAUUAGAUAAGUUAAGAUCGUGGGAUUAUGGCAAUAUGAAUUUCAUCAGCGCUGACGCUACUUCGGCUCUCUUUUCACGUUGACAAGCCGUGGAGCACGAAUGCCUGCCAAAGCAUAAUGAACUCCAUCAGAUGCUCGACGAAAUGUGCCCGUUGGUGGCACUGCCCGCCUUGGCCACGCCCUCCUGGCCCACGUAGCCCAGUUCCCUUUGCACGGCCGAAGGUCGCCGAUUGCGCGUCUCCGGCAGCAGCGGCAUCGAAAUGAGUCCCACGAGGAUGGAGGCGGCUGCAAACACCCACAGAAUCCUCAGUGCAGCGCUCCACUCACCUCAAUCAUGCCGAAGAGCAGCAGCCAAGAAACGCCCGAGGCCACUGAAUAUAGCAAGUCGUGCAGCUGUGAAAAUCCAAUUCGGAGAACGUAUUAUAAAUGUGUAAAUGUGAAGCAGCAGAACAGCACUUAAGAACCCAAACAGCACAAUUAGAAAUUUGCAGUUAGCUAGCAUUUUGGUAAAUAAUGAUUUCGCAUUUGGAAAGUCAUUUUAAGCUCAGAUAAUUUAAUUUCAUUUCUGUCUGAUGGCACAUUCAAUUCCUAUGAAUAUGCGAUUAAAUUCACUAAUUCUUAUUAUUUGUAAAUUAAGCAAACACAACAUAAAAUAUAUACUAAUGUAUGAAAUAUAUGUAUAUGUAUGUAUAUAUAAAUUAAUUGAAGCGAUGGCAUGAAAAGUAUGCAAUGCAUUUAGGUUUUUGCAAUCAAAAGUGUUCAGCCCUCACUAUUAAACAGAAUUUCAAAGAAUGAAUGGCAUCCAAUUAAAUGCAAAAUAUGAAUAGCAAUGCGCCCAUGCACAGAAUCAGAAUGAAAUUGGCAACUUUACAGAAUUUAAUAAAUUACGGCUUCAUCCGUGGGCCAUGACUGAUUACACUA